GACGUAGGGGGCGAGCGUUGUCCGGAAUUACUGGGCGUAAAGGGCGUGUAGGCGGCCUUUCAAGUCGGCUGUGAAAUACCCCGGCUCAACCGGGGGGGUGCAGUCGAAACUGGGGGGCUUGAGUGCAGGAGAGGGGGGUGGAAUUCCCGGUGGAGCGGUGAUAUGCGUAGAUAUCGGGAGGAACACCGGUGGCGAAGGCGACCUUCUGGCCUGUUACUGACGCUGAGGCGCGAAAGCCGGGGGAGCAAACAGGAUUAGAUACC
rnacentral:rRNA from 1 species